UUCUCAUGAUGGCUGGAGGAGGUACUGUGUGCCUGCAUAUUCUCAUGAUGGCUGGAGGAGGUACUGUGUGUCUGCAUAUUCUCAUGAUGGCUAGAGGAGGUACUGUGUGUCUGCAUAUUCUCAUGAUGGCUAGAGGAGGUACUGUGUGCC